rfam:Photobacterium damselae subsp. damselae CIP 102761 Contig58, whole genome shotgun sequence.
GCGCCCUUAGCUCAGCUGGAUAGAGCACGUCCCUUCUAAGGAUGUGGUCGCAGGUUCGAAUCCUGCAGGGCGUG